ACUCAAAUGAAUAGACGGGGACUUGCACAAGCAGUGGAUUAUGUGGUUUAAUUCGACGUCAAACGAAGAACCUCACCAGGGUUAGAAAUUCUAUCGAAGACAUUAGGAAACUAGUGUCGUCUCACAAGGACGGUAGAACAGGUGAUGCAUGGCCGUCGUCAGUUCGUGGUUUGAACUGUUCCCUUCAGUGGGGUAACGAACGCAACCCUCGUUGGCUGUUACAAGUGUCAGCCGAGACUGCCCAGCACUUUGUCUACGAUUCAGUUCGCAGGCAGGGUGCUGGGAGGAAGGCGAGGAUGACGCCAGGUCAGCAUGUCCCUCUGAUAUCCUGGGCUACACACAUAAUACAAUCGCACACACAACGAGACGCAAUGGGGUAACCCGGAGCAAAUCUUUAUAAAAUGUGCGCCAGUUCGGAUUGAGGUCUGCAACUCGACCUCAUGAAGCCGGAAUUGCUAGUAAUCGCGGGUCAGCUAUACCGCGGUGAAUACGUUCUCAAGUCUUGUACACACCGCCCGU
rnacentral:rRNA from 1 species